rnacentral:rRNA from 1 species
UACGUAGGGUGCAGGCGUUAAUCGGAAUUACUGGGCGUAAAGCGUGCGCAGGCGGUCUUUUAAGUCAGAUGUGAAAUCCCCGGGCUUAACCUGGGAACUGCGUUUGAAACUGGAAGGCUAGAGUGUGGCAGAGGGGGGUGGAAUUCCGACGUGUAGCAGUGAAAUGCGUAGAUAUGCGGAGGAACACCGAUGGCGAAGGCAAUCCCCUGGGCCUGCACUGACGCUCAUGCACGAAAGCGUGGGGAGCAAACAGG